GGGAAGGCCAGGUCUGGGCCAGCUCUCCACCACAUAGCUUCCAGGAAAGCCCCACCGCCACUCAUCGUGACCAAAGUACAGAGCAAAAACAGACACUUCAAAUUCAGAAAACCUCGGUCCUGGCUGGGAAGAGGACCCAGAAGACUCCAGACAUGCAGGGAAGGCAAUCUGUGGGAAAAAGAGGAAAGGUUUCUUCUUGACAACUGAGAUGAAUGGACCAGAUGAUGUGAAAAUUUUCUGCUGGGACUGUGAUUGAAAUUCACAUGUAAAUAGAAAUUCAUAGAACUUUGCA